rnacentral:rRNA from 1 species
GACGAACGCUGGCGGCGUGCUUAACACAUGCAAGUCGAACGGAAAGGCCUGCUUUCCCUUGUGGAUUGCGGGUACUCGAGUGGCGAACGGGUGAGUAACACGUGAGUGAUCUGCCCCCAACUUGGGUAUAAGCCUGGGAAACUGGGUCUAAUUCCCGAUAGGACUGCAGGGUGGUGCCUGUGGUGGAAAACGAUUUUCUAGUGGUUGGGGAUGAGCUCGCGGCCUAUCAGCUUGUUGGUGGGGUAAUGGCCUACCAAGGCGGCGACGGGUAGCCGGCCUGGGAGGGUGGACGGGCACAUUGGAACGGAGAUACGGCCCAGACUACUACGGGAGGCAGCAGUGGGGAAUAUGGCGCAGUGAGCGGAAGCCUGAUGCAGCGACGCCGCGUGGGGGAUGACGGCCUUCGGGUUGUAAACUCCUUUCGACCGCGAGGAAGCCACCUGGUUGGAAGGGUGGUGACGGUAGUGGUAGAAGAAGCACCGGCUAACUACGUG